UUCACACUGUGGACAGUUUUUCCCAAGAUGUCAGAACAAGACUCCCCAUCAUGAUGAGGCUCUCACCCCUCUUAACUGUCCUUGCUGAUGCCUACCUUUUUCACUUGGCAGGAUAAUGCAGUCAUUAGAAUUUCACAUGUAGUAGCUUCUGAGGGUAAUAACAGAGUGUCAGAUAUGUCAUCUCAACCUCAAACUUUUAUGUAACAUCUCAGGGGGAAAUGUGGCUCUCUCCACCUUGCAUACAGGGCUCCCAAUAGAAAUGAACACAGAGAUAUUGCCUGUGUGUUUGCAGAGAAGAUGGUUUCUAUAAAGAGUAGGAAAGCUGAAAUUAUAGUAGAGUCUCCUUUAAAUGCACAUUGUGUGGAUGGCUCUCACCAUUUCCUAAGAGAUACAUUGUAAAACGUGACAGUAAUACUGAUUCUAGCAGAAUAAAACAUGUAC
rnacentral:lncRNA from 10 species